AGUAGGACUAGCAAAAAAUCGGGGACUAGCCCAGGUGGUGAGCUUCCUGGAUGACCGAAGCCCUGAGUACAGGGCAGUCGUCAACAGUUCAACACGCAGAAUAGGUUUGCGUCUUGAUAUGCUGUGUGGACGAGGGCAUGCCCACGGUACAUCUUAACCUAUCCGGGGGUCGGAUAGGCGAAAGUCCAGUAUUGGACUGGGAGUACAGCCUGAUAGGGUGUUGCAGAGACCCAUCUGAUAGGCUAGUAUAAAAAACUCUGCUGUACAUGGCACAUGGAGUU
rnacentral:other from 17 species